UAAAAAUGUAAAUUUGAAAACUUAAUGAUUAAUAGUUAUGUUCUUUAAAGUUAAAGAAUUUGGCGGUAUUUUAGUCUAUUUAGAGGAACCUGUUCUAUAAUUGAUAGUCCACGAUUUAUUUUACUUACUUUAAAUUAGUUUAUAUACCGUCGUAGUUUGAAUAUUUUAAAAGAAUAUAAAUAUUCAAGAUUUUUAAUAAUAAAAAAUGUCAGAUCAAGGUGUAGCUUAUAAGUGAGAAGAAAUGGGUUACAAUAAAUUUAUUUAAAUGGAUUAAAUUUUGAAAAAAUUUAUUAAAGUGGAUUUAAAAGUAAUAAAGUUAAAUUAAAUUUUAUGAUUUUAGCUCUAAAAUAUGU
rnacentral:rRNA from 1 species